UGGUUCUGGCAUNGAUGAAGAACGUAGCGAAAUGCGAUAAGUAGUGUGAAUUGCAGAAUUCCGUGACUCAUAGAAUCUUUGAACGCACAUUGCGCCUAUUGGUAUAUUCCAAUAGGCAUGCCUGUUCGAGCGUUAUUUAAACCUUCGAGCUUUGCUUGGUGUUGGGUGCUGUCUGCUGUUUCUUUCUGCAGACUAGCCUUAAAUGAAUUGGCAGCCAGCAUUUGGUGUGUUAGAGCGCAGUACAUUUUGCGUUCUCGGCCAUAAUAGUGGGCGUCCAGAAAGCUUACUUCAACGUUUGACCUCGGAUCAGGUAGGGAUACCCGCUGA
rnacentral:misc_RNA from 1 species